rnacentral:rRNA from 1 species
GGGAGUACGGUCGCAAGAUUAAAACUCAAAGGAAUUGANCGGGGGCCCGCACAAGCCGGUGGAGCAUGUGGCUUAAUUCGAAGCAACGCGAAGAACCUUACCAGCCCUUGACUUGGGGAGUGUGGGUCGCAGAGAUGUGACCCUUCAGUUCGGCUGGCUCCCACACAGGUGCUGCAUGGCUGUCGUCAGCUCGUGUCGUGAGAUGUUGGGUUAAGUCCCGCAACGAGCGCAACCCUCAUCUUCAGUUGCCAUCAUUAAGUUGGGCACUCUGAAGAAACUGCCGGUGACAAGCCGGAGGAAGGCGGGGAUGACGUCAAGUCCUCAUGGCCCUUACGGGCUGGGCUACACACGUGCUACAAUGGCGGUGACAGUGGGAUGCCAAGGGGGCGACCCCGCGCCAAUCUCAAAAAGCCGUCUCAGUUCGGAUUGUACUCUGCAACUCGAGUGCAUGAAGUUGGAAUCGCUAGUAAUCGUGGAUCAGCACGCCACGGUGAAUACGUUCCCGGGCCUUGUACACACCGCCCGUCACACCAUGGGAGUUGGUUUUACCCGAAGCCGGUGCGCUAACCGCAAGGAGGCAGCCGACCACGGUAGGGUCAGCGACUGGGGUGAAGUCGUAACAAGGUACC